rnacentral:rRNA from 1 species
CAGCAGCCGCGGGAAAACGUAGGGUGCGAGCGUUAAUCGGAAUUACUGGGCGUAAAGCGUGCGCAGGCGGUUAUACAAGACAGAUGUGAAAUCCCCGGGCUCAACCUGGGACCUGCAUUUGUGACUGUAUAGCUAGAGUACGGUAGAGGGGGAUGGAAUUCCGCGUGUAGCAGUGAAAUGCGUAGAUAUGCGGAGGAACACCGAUGGCGAAGGCAAUCCCCUGGACCUGUGCUGACGCUCAUGCACGAAAGCGUGGGGAGCAAACAGGAUUAGAUACCCGCGUAGUCCCUGUCUCUUAUAC